AGAGAAAUGUCAUAUUUUCCUGUGAUCUUCGGCCAGAUUCUAUAAAUUCAUGAUUGUCACUUAUAUCAUGACCUACAGAUUAGAUCAAGGUGCCCUUGAGUACGUUUUACGGAAGCAGAUUGCAAAUGGCAUAUCAGCAUCCAUCCCCUGUUGAAUGUUAGCACAGACUCAGGCCUUUCCCCCUCAUCAAAGGCUGUAAUUUGGUUCAGAAUAUAAAUGAUUUUACACUGAGAGUGCUAUCCUGCACAAUUACGAGUCCAUGCCAGGAGUAGCCUCAAGUGCUGCAGGAUCUCGAUACAUAUCUUCUUUUUUAUGAUCUUCUUUAACAUUUGACCUUUGAAAGAUUUGUCAUGAGGAAAUCACCAGAUUUUCUAAAUCUGGUGAAAUUUUUUACCCUCUGGCAACGCUGUCAGGGAUGGAAUUUGAUAUAGCACUUGGUGGUUGAUCUGGCAGUGUAUUAAGCCAGUCAUUUCUUUUUUUUUUUAAGACUUUUACAAUACACUGGGUAAAGUUCCUAAUACCCUUCGUUGCACCAUUAAAUUUUUGGAGUCAUUUACUAGGAAAUUCUGAAUUGCAUUUUUCUUACUGAUAUUUGAGCACUUAUUCCAGUAACAUGUCAUUCCCUGUCUUAGGGAAUGUCUUACUUUAGUUCCCCCUUCCUCUAGGACGAUUUGGUGCUAAAUUUAAAAUAGAAUGAAAUAUCUUAAGUCUCCUUUCUUAGUCUCUUCCAAUAUAAGUAAGACUUAUUUUUCCGAAUUUUCUUGUAAAUACUCUUUGAACCUGUUCUAGUAAUAUUAAAAAUAUUUUUUGUAAUACUUGGACUCCAUACUUGGCACUGAUAUUCCAAUCUUGAAUGCUUUUCAACCACUCUUUUAUCCUUUGACCAACCACAAUUGUUCCAUUAUCAGCUUUAUAUGGUCCUAAUCUUUGAUAUAGCUUUUCCCAAUUAUCUGAAAAACGCUUUUGUGCUUGUCUUAUCCAAAACUGUUCAGCUUCUUUUAAAAUUUUAGAUUCAAGUUUCAUACAAAUAACCUCAAAAGAUUUAACUUUUAUCAUAUUUAGUAUGCUACCUGUGACGUGUUUUUCUCCGACCCUUGGGUGAUAUGCAAAACCCGGUAAUUAAGAUCACAUCUAUGUAUAUGUAACUCGAUCAUAUUUUGCCAGGUCAGACGUUUGUAAAGGACAUUUAAAAGUUAGAGAUACAUACCUUCACACACACACAC
rnacentral:lncRNA from 1 species